rnacentral:rRNA from 1 species
UACGAAGGGGGCUAGCGUUGCUCGGAAUCACUGGGCGUAAAGGGUGCGUAGGCGGGUCUUUAAGUCAGGGGUGAAAUCCUGGAGCUCAACUCCAGAACUGCCUUUGAUACUGAGGAUCUUGAGUUCGGGAGAGGUGAGUGGAACUGCGAGUGUAGAGGUGAAAUUCGUAGAUAUUCGCAAGAACACCAGUGGCGAAGGCGGCUCACUGGUCUGGUACUGACGCUGAGGUGCGAAAGCGUGGGGAGCAAACAGGG